GUAAGGGAGGAGGUGGUAGUAAAGAAACCUUUAGACUGAAAAAUGUAAAGAUAUAAUAUGAAAGGAGAAAAAAACAACAAAAGAACCCACCACGGAAGUUUCAACCCACCACCACCACAUAGUGCCAAAAACUUCAAAAUGGAACAUUUCUUAUGUUGGCACAUAUUUUUGUGAGAACAAACAUAUGGUUGUGAGCAUAUUCUUACCUUCAUUGUGAUAUGCAUAUUUCCUCUCUGCAGGAAGAUUUAAAUGCACUGUUGACAUCUUUUUAUAGUCACAUAAUAAGAAAGCAGACAAAGAAAUGUUACGAUCGGACUUAUUCAUGAGAUACCACAGACUAACAUAUCAAGUUUUUCAUAUUUACACUACUGGUGAGUCUCUAGUUGCACACCUGCCUCUGUGGUCUCAUUGUUGGUCCCUAGGACAGCUUAUAAAUAAAAACAGAUGAUACUGUCUACUGGCCAGAACAAGCUCACAACUCACUUUCUACUCCAUUCUCAAGUGACCACGUAGAGAAAGAUGGAUGGUAGAGGUCAGGAUUUGGAGUUCUCCGGCUAACUGCAUAUUAACUUUGUUAUCAUGGCCAAUAUUAUCACAUGACAGAGAAACAGACUUGAUGGAUUUGGGCUUUAGCCCUGACUUCAUCACAAAUAAACAGUGUCAUCUUGGAUGCUAA